GACUCCGUAGCUCAGCUGGUAGAGCAAAUGACUCUUAAUCAUUGGGUCGAGGGUUCGAGCCCCUCCGGGGUUA
rnacentral:tRNA from 1 species